CGCGCUGUUCUGACUCGCCAUCGCAGGCGCAUCGCAUUCUUCUGGGAGUCGACGCGAGCCGCACACCGACAUUUUACACCAAACGGAUAUUUACUCGAUAAAACCAGCGCUGUUUGUUGGAAACACAGAGAAAAGAGGAGCAGAAUGGGGUGUCGAGAGGUUUUCAUAUUACUAAUGGUCGCGACGUCGACGCUCGCUGUGGAGGUGCCGUCAGACUCCGGUACCGGACUGCUGGCCGAGCCGCAGGUCGCCAUGUUCUGCGGGAAACUCAACAUGCACAUCAACGUUCAGACCGGAAAAUGGGAACCCGAUCCAUCUGGAACCAAGAGCUGCAUCGGAACAAAAGAGGGAAUCCUGCAGUACUGCCAGGAGGUGUAUCCAGAGCUUCAGAUCACGAAUGUGGUGGAGGCCAAUCAGCCCGUCAGUAUCUGGGACUGGUGCAAGAAGGGCCGCAAGCAGUGCCGCAGUCACAUGCACAUCGUGGUGCCCUACCGCUGCCUGGUGGGUGAGUUCGUGAGCGACGCUCUGCUGGUUCCUGACAAGUGUAAGUUCCUGCACCAGGAGCGCAUGGACAUGUGUGAGAGUCACCUGCACUGGCACACCGUCGCCAAAGAGUCUUGCGGUGACCGUAGCAUGAAUCUCCAUGACUACGGGAUGCUGUUGCCGUGUGGUAUCGACCGUUUCCGUGGCGUUGAGUUCGUCUGCUGCCCUGCGGAAGCGGAGAAGGAGUCGGACAGCGCUGCCGUGGAGGAGGAUGAUUCUGAUGUGUGGUGGGGAGGAGCGGAGGCCGACUACAGCGAGAACAGCAUGACUCGAGAUGCAGACGCUGAACCCGCUGUUGUAGAGGAUGACGAGGAUCCGGAUGAGGAAGUGGACGAGGCUGUGGACAACGACCAGGAUGGAGACGGAGACGAGGAUGAGAGGGAGGACGAAGAUGACGAGGUCAUCGACGAGCGCCGCGACAUCAGCCAGAGCACAAGCGUUGCCAUGACGACAACCACGACCACAACAACCGAGUCGGUGGAGGAGGUGGUGCGAGAGGUGUGUUUUGCAAGCGCAGAGACGGGCCCCUGCAGGGCCAUGUUGCCCCGCUGGUACUUUGUGCGUGAGGAGGGCCGCUGUGCGCCCUUCAUCUAUGGAGGCUGCGGAGGAAACCGCAAUAACUUUGAGUCGGAGGAGUACUGUCUGUCUGUCUGCAGCAGCGUGUUGCCGACUCCCUCCUCCAGCCCUCCGGACGCAGUGGACCGAUACCUGGAGACGCCAGCGGACGAGAACGAACACACUCAUUUCCUGAAGGCCAAAGAGAGUCUGGAGGCCAAACACCGCGAGCGCAUGUCUCAGGUGAUGAGGGAAUGGGAAGAGGCCGAGAGACAGGCGAAGAGUUUACCGCGCAAUGACAAGAAGGCCGUGAUCCAGCACUUCCAGGAGAAGGUGGAGGCGCUGGAGCAGGAGGCGGCCAGCGAGCGUCAGCAGCUGGUGGAGACGCACAUGGCUCGCGUGGAGGCGUUGCUGAAUGACCGCCGGCGUCUGGCCCUCGAGAGCUACCUGUCUGCCCUGCAGGCCGAUCCGCCCCGGCCGCGGCAUGUGUUCAGCCUGCUGAAGAAGUACGUGCGCGCCGAGCAGAAGGACCGGCAGCACACGCUCAAACACUUCGAACACGUGCGCAUGGUCGACCCCAAGAAGGCUGCGCAGAUUCGGCCGCAGGUGCUGACCCAUCUGCGUGUGAUCGAGGAGCGGAUGAAUCAGUCUCUCGGGCUGCUGUACAAGGUGCCGGGAGUCGCUGAUGAUAUCCAGGACCAAGUCGAGCUGUUGCAGCGCGAGCAGCAGGAGAUGUCAGCUCAGCUGGCGAACCUGCAGAGCGACGUGCGGGUCAGUUACGGUAACGACGCCCUGAUGCCCGACAGCACCGCCAGCCUGGACCUGCUGCCCGCUGAAGACACGCAGGGCUUCGGCUUCAUUCACCCCGAGAGCUUCAACCAGCCCAACACACAGAACGAGGUUGAGCUGGUCGAUGCCCGACCUGUCGCAGACCGAGGCCUCCCGACCCGACCAGUGUCUGGACUGAAGCCUGACGAUGUUCCUGAGCUGCGGAUGGAAGCCGAAGAGAGACACAGCGAAGUUUACCACCAGAAACUGGUUUUCUUUGCGGAGGAUGUGAGCUCCAAUAAAGGAGCUAUUAUUGGCCUGAUGGUCGGAGGAGUUGUCAUAGCAACCAUCAUCGUCAUCACCCUGGUGAUGCUGAGGAAGAAGCAGUACACGUCCAUCCACCACGGAAUCAUUGAGGUGGACGCUGCCGUGACCCCGGAGGAACGUCACCUGUCCAAGAUGCAGCAGAACGGCUAUGAAAACCCCACCUACAAGUUCUUCGAGCAGAUCCACAACUGAUGGCGUAACGCCUCCCCCCUCACCCUCACCCUCCCCGUACCCUCAUCUCCAGACGCUGCAGAAGACACCAGCCGAAUCUCACCGCGUCAUAAACAUCACGUCUGUUAUUGGCCAGUUUCUGUGAUUGUCAAUCAAAAGACGACCUCCCACUGGCUGGAUGAACAUUCACAUGAUCAGAUUAGUUCUGUUGGGGUCAGUUUCAGGUUGUUGAAGAUUCUGUUUCAGAUUGAAUGCACAAUUCAAAUCACAAAUCGAACUGAACGCAUAUUUCAAAUUCAAUUCACAUCAAAUUGAACAAUUCAAAUGAAUUUCAAAUCAAAUUGAAUGCAUAAUUCAGUUUCAAUUGGAAUUCAAAUCACAAAUCAGAUUGAACACAAUUCAAGUUCAAUUCAAAUAAAUUUGAAUGCAUAAUUUGAAUUCAGUUCACAUCAAAUGAACGUAAUUCAAAUUAAUUUCAAAUCAAAAUUAACGCAUAAUUUCAAAUUCAUUUCAAAUUAAUUUGAACACAAUUCAAAUUCAUUUCAUAUCAAAUUAAACGCAUAAUUCGAAUUCAUUUCAAAUAAAAUUUAACGCAUAAUUCGAAUUCAGUUCACAUCUAAUUGAAGGCAUGAUUCUGAUUCAGUUUGCGUCACAAAUCAAAUUGUACACAUAAUUCAAAUUCAUUUCACAUCAAAUUGAACGCAUAAUUCAAAUUUUUCACAUCAGAUUGAACGCAUAAUUCGAAUUCAGUUCACAUCAAAUUAAAGGCAUUAUUCUGAUUCGAUUCGCGUCACAAAUCAAAUUGAACACAAUUCAAAUCACAAAUCAAAUUGAAUGCACCAUUAAAAUUCAGUUCAUAUUCAAAUCAAAUUAAAUGCAUAAUUCAAAUUUGAAUUCACUCCAGAUUUUUCAACCAUGACCUCCCAUUGGCUGGAUGAACAUGAUCAGAUUAACGCUGUCAGAAGAUUGUUUUUUUUUAUUGAAUGCACAAUUCAGAUUCAGCAUUUAGGGCCGGCGAGUGACUGGCGCGUCGUGUCCCCUGCACCGUCUGCUCUCACUACUAAACGAGUGAAACACUGGGAGAUCUGAGGGGUGAACGUCCGAGACUUCAUCCCGUCAGACACGCCUCCUUCCCUCCUCUUCCUCCCUUUUUUCAUCGCACACUGACUGCAGCUGCGCUGUGUUUGGUGAUCAUUAAACCAGUCACAUUAAAAUCUAGUGGUAAAAUUGAUGUCCUUCUGAAUGAGAUCUUGAAAUUGUUUGAUUGUUUCUGGUUUGUUUUUCAAGAAAAAAAAAGAAUAAUUGUAAAAAAAAGAAAUUUGCCAAAAAAAAAAAGAUUUUUUUUUUUUGUUGUCAAUAUUAAAGUAAUGCAAAAAAGAAUAGUUGUAACUAUGUAGUGCAUGAUAGAAAAAAUGAUGGAAAAACUAUUUGGAUCUUGGUCUUUUCUCACUUAGAGACAUUUUAGCAGGGUUAAACAGUAACUUGUGAAAAUGUGAUUUGAGUUGCACAAAAAAAUGAUAAACUCAAUUGGCUUCUGCUUUGAUACAACUUAAACUCAAUUAAACGGAUCCAUGCUUUUACUUCAAUAUUUUUUUUAUCAGCGGUGGCUGUCGAUGUACAUUUACUGUCUUUGUUUUCGUUCUAUGCAUUUCAGAGAUUUAUUUACUCCUUUAUAAACAGCUAUUUAAUUUUGAUUUUCCAUUGGACUCGUGGUUGUGUGUGUUUUUUAAGCGGGUGUUCUGGGGCGGGCGGGUUUUCGGGUCGUUCUCUGUAUGUUUGUAUCCAGUCGGUUUUGUGUUCUCCGAUCACUCUUGUGUCCACCGAUGUAGAAAACGUCUCUCUCUUCUUCAUUUCUCCUCUCAGUUUUCGUUCUUUGCUGCAGAAACAGAUGCAGCACUGCAGGGUGAAGCUGCACAGUAUCCACUGAGAGAUAAACGCCUUCAUCUCACUGCAAAAUCAAAAGAAAACAGCCAGGAAGAUUGUUUUGCAUUGCAACAUUAUAUUUUAUUUCACCCCCAAAUUGUCAUUAGCCUACUGUAAUACAACAAAACAUUGAAAUUUAUUAUAUUAUUUAAAGGAGAUAUAUGUUAGAAUUUUCAUUUUAAUCACCUUUUAAUGCCAAUGUGUGAACAGCUAGUAUCGAAACUUAAAAAACGAGACCUUCCCCGACUUCCUGUGUUGUCUAUGAAAGCCUGUAGACUAAUGUUUAUGUGAAGGACUCGGGACGGUUUUGCCGGGAAAAUCAAAAGGAUGUGACGGUUACGCGCUCGCGAGAGCCUCGAACCAAUGCUUAUGUUCAGGAUAAUGUCGAAAGAGCCGCUCUGUACUGUAAUGUCAACGUGUCAUGCAAAGGGGAUUAAUUCAAACUAUAGACCUUAUGCAACGUGCGCGCAGCCAUUUUGAGAAUUUUGUCUUCGAACUUCCGUUUUUGCGGUAGCUUUGUAGCCUAUAUUUCUAUGGCAUCGCUGUCAAAGAAUAAUUAGCUGGUGAAGUGGAUUUACUUACCGUACAGUUGACAAAAGUUAUCAUGAGCACUGUAAAACACGUCUUAACAAAUGUCAGUAGACCGGGAAGAUUUUAAAACGAACAGUUCAUUCAUAAGUAAGAUCGCUGUGGAAAUACAAACCGGAAGUCAAAAGCUGAAAAGGGGCGUGGCUACAUAUAAGUCUCGCUUAGUCAGGUCUAUAGUCUACAGUCUCAAAUAUACUUUAUAAUCAAACUAUCAUACCAGUGUGAUUUAAAUUACCUCAUCUUGAAUCGCAAACAUAUCCACAUCGCUAUGAUCAGAUGCUUUCUGAAGUGCUGUUUUCAGUCAUGUUUGUUGUGUUUAUCUUGUUAUUGAGAGGAAAGCGAAUAUUUACAUUUACAUAUUCAUCUAAACAUCGCUGUUGGAUGGCGUCAGGAUUAGUGCGAGCACGAGCAAUAAGUUGCAGCUGCAGUUCACUUAACAGCCACAGGUGUCGCUAAUAACAAGGGUUUCUGAAUUUUACAGUAUAGCCCCAUUAAAUUAUUUAUCAUGGUCAUAUUUGUACUGAACUGAUUUAAUGCUAAUUUAUUAUUUUUUAUUAUGUGCUUAAUUGACAUGAAAAUAAUGUGGCAAUGCAAUAAAUAUGAAUGGCUCUAAGAAUAGGCUUAAUUUUCUUCAUGCAACAUAUUAUUUAAUUUUUCUUUUGAUUUUGGGGUCAAAUCUGAGUUGGAGGAGAUUCUAAUCUGUUCUGAUGCAUCGAGCAUCACGUUUGUCUCACACCUCUUGUUGCGUUUGUUGUAGCCAAUUCUAGAAAGUGUCUCAUGACCGAAUGUGUGGCUGGUUAUCAGGUUACUAGUAUAAACUGAUGGUUAUUAUUGUGUGGCAUCCAGAAUCUGGUGUGACCAGUGUGAAAUGAUUUACAGGUUCAUAAUCCAUAAUCAACCCAUCUAAUGAAUGUCAAUCAAUCGUUUACAGAAUCAUCUCAGUGAUGACCGUCACUCAUUCACACGGCCAGUUCUCAGAUCAGUGAUGCAUCAUGGGUAAUUAUCGGUGUGGGUUGCUGUGGUUAGAGAUGCUGAAUGGUCUACAGAUGGUGAUGAGGUUCUUUCAGUGGCAUUUUUCUGUGUAUCAUUUGCCUUGACUGGAUAACAACUGCGCUUUCUACACUGUAUUCCAUUAAUAAAGUUUUGAAUGUACAUACAGA